UGCUUCUGGAUGGAGUCGUCAAA
rnacentral:miRNA from 1 species